rnacentral:lncRNA from 1 species
AAAAAAAUUAAAUUAAAAUUCGAAAAAUAUUACAUUACCUAAAGACACAUACCACCAUAAUUCACUAUAUCACCACCACAACAAUUAAUACAUACUCAAUCAUCAACACAUGUCCAACUACCAAAACAUCAUGCUAGUUGGUACUAAUUUUCAAAAAAAUUGAUAGAAUUUCCUUUAAAAAUAGAUAUCUAAAAAAUUCUAAAUCUGUCUACAAAACUUACAAUCAUCAAUACAUAUCCAAAUUACCAAAAAAACUUUCAU